rnacentral:lncRNA from 1 species
AAAACGGGUGGGCUAUAGCCUUGUUGGGGGGCGCGGGCGAAGUUCUUCCGCCGGACUCGGAAUGGGGCGAGACUUUGCGAGGGGCCUCGGGGUGCCAAAAAUAAGCCGCGGGCAAAGCCGUGCCCAAAAAUAAGCGCCCGAAGGUCGUGGUGCCAAAACCCCCCAGCGGAAAAAUGGCCAAAAAACGGGUGGGCUAUAGUCUUGGUGGGGGGCGCGGGCGAAGUUCGUCCGCCGGACUCGGAAUGGGGCGAGCCUUUGCGCAGGGCCUCGGGGCGCAAAAAAUAAGCGGCGGGCAAAGCCGCGCCCAAAAAUAAGCGCCCGAAGGUCGUGGUGCCAAAACCCCCAGCGGAAAAAUGGCCAAAAAACGGGUGGGCUAUAGCCUUGGUGGGGGGCGCGGGCGAAGUUCGUCCGCCGGACUCGGAAUGGGGCGUGACUUUGCGCAGGGCCUCGGGGCACCAAAAAUAAGCCGCGGGCAAAGCCGCGCCCAAAAAUAAGCACCCGAAGGUCGUGGUGCCAAAACCCCCCAGCGGAAAAAUGGCCAAAAAACGGGUGGGCUAUAGCCUUGGUGGGGGGCGCGGGCGAAGUUCGUCCGCCGGACUCGGAAUGGGGCGAGACUUUGCGAGGGGCCUCGGGGUACCCGCGGGAAGUCGCGGGCACAGCCGCAUCCAGAAAUAAGCGCCCGAAGGUCGUGGUGCCAAAACCCCCCAGCGGAAAAAUGGCCAAAAAACGGGUGGGCUAUAGCCUUGGUGGGGGGCGCGGGCGAAGUUCGUCCGCCGGACUCGGAAUGGGGCGAGACUUCGCGCAGGGUGUCGGGGCGCCAAAAAUAAGCCGCGGGAAAUUCCGCGCCCAAAAAUAAGCGCCCGAAGGUCGUGGUGCCAAAACCCCCCAGCGGAAAAAUGGCCAAAAAACGGGUGGGCUAUAGCCUUGGUGGGGGGCGCGGGCGAAGUUCGUCCGCCGGACUCGGAAUGGGGCGAGACUUUGCGCAGGGCCUCGGGGCGCCAAAAAUAAGCCGCGGGCAAAGCCGCGCC